AAAUAUUAUACCCUUUUUGAACCUUAGACUUAAACAGGAUGUGAACCCUUGUCUUGAAAUUCUUUACCUUGAGUUGGGAUGAGCUUAACUGUAUGUGAUGAAAAGGUUCAAGUUUGGGGUUGCAUGGGGGAAAUUGUAAAGCUUUUAAGAAGCAUUGAGCUCAAUUGUUGAAAAAGAAAAAUGCAUGUGAAAAAGAAAAAAAUAAGAAAAAGCAUGAAGAUGAGCUCAAUGAAAAAGAAAAGGAAAAAAAAAAGUUAGGAAUGAGUGAGAUUGGUGAGGAAGAGAGUUGUGCUUAAAUGUUGAAUACUAUGAUAGCUCUCUUGACUCAAGGAUUUUGCAUUCCAGAAAAACCAAUUCUUCUCGUUAGCCCAACCUCAUUACAAGCCUUAGAAAAGUCCUUUUGAUGACAUUUGCAUGUAAAGAUGUUGAUUGUUUGAGAUGAAUGGCAAUUUUAUUUCUUGUGACUUGUGAAUGAUAGAGAG
rnacentral:lncRNA from 1 species